GAUGAACGCUAGCUACAGGCUUAACACACGCAAGUCGAGGGGAAACGGCAUUGAGUGCUUGCACUCUUUGGACGUCGACCGGCGCACGGGUGAGUAACGCGUAUCCAACCUUCCCAUUACUGUGGGAUAACCUGCCGAAAGGCAGACUAAUACCGCAUAGUCUUCGAUGACGGCAUCAGAUUUGAAGUAAAGAUUUAUCGGUAAUGGAUGGGGAUGCGUCUGAUUAGCUUGUUGGCGGGGUAACGGCCCACCAAGGCUACGAUCAGUAGGGGUUCUGAGAGGAAGGUCCCCCACAUUGGAACUGAGACACGGUCCAAACUCCUACGGGAGGCAGCAGUGAGGAAUAUUGGUCAAUGGACGGAAGUCUGAACCAGCCAAGUAGCGUGCAGGAUGACGGCCCUAUGGGUUGUAAACUGCUUUUGUAUGGGGAUAAAGUUAGGGACGUGUCCCUAUUUGCAGGUACCAUACGAAUAAGAACCGGCUAAUUCCGUG
rnacentral:rRNA from 1 species